rnacentral:lncRNA from 1 species
GAAGAUUCUUAGAAUAUUCUAGUAGAUUCUAAGAAGUUACUUGAGAAGCUUCCUAGCUCUUGGGUAGUUGCUCGAGAAGCUUCACAGUUCUUGGGAAGCUUCCUAGCUCUUGGGUAGUUGCUCGAGAAGCUUCACAGUUCUUGGGAAGCUUCUUGAUGCGCUUCCUUAGAACCAUAGGCCAGUAGUAUAUAUAGGAGUCGAGGCUGAAGAGUUCUUCAGUCUCGACAACAC